GUGUGCAGAGAUUAUCUAAUCAAUAAGGUUAUCCCGGCAAUUCAAGAUAAGUGGCCUGACGAUGAUGAGGGAGCAACAAUAUUCAUCCAACAGGAUAACGCAAAGCCUCAUGUCCUUCCCAAUGAUGUAGCUUUUCGAGAAGCUGUGGAACAAACUGAUCUUGACAUCCGAUUGCUACAACAGCCCCCAAAUAGCCCCGAGUUAAAUUGUUUGGACCUCUGCUUCCAUAGCUCUCUCCAGUCUCUAACCGACUGCAGGUCACCUACAAACAUCCAGGAACUGGUACAGGGUGUGGAAGAGGAAUUCGAGAACUACGAUCCCGACAAGUUGCACAGAAGCUUUAUCACAUUAGAAGCAGUUAUGUUUGAAGUUAUGAAAGACAAAGGAGGAAAUCAAUAUAGUUGCCCCACUUGCACAAGGAUCGUGUUCAGAAUGCUGGAAUGGAAAUAA
rnacentral:rRNA from 1 species